GGUCAUGAAAGAUCUUGUUGGAAGCACCCGCCUGAGAUCAACACUUAGUGACAUUCCUACAACUGCCUUUUGUUUGGAACAAAGCCUGUUAGCCGUAUGGGGAGUGUUUGCUGGUAGUGGAACAACAUAAGUAUGUGAUUAGACCCCUCGAGUCUAAAGUGCUGUUCCAGACACAGAUGAGUUUACAAGUGUGUUUUAUAUUUCUGUUCUUAUUUUCUGAGGGAUAUAGAGAAAGAAAAAAAUCAAAAUUUGGCAUAAAUACAUUCAAGAAAGUGCAAGGAUAAGGUGCAAUCUUUGCACUCAAGAAACUGACAGUCGUUGUAGCGAGAGAUACACAUGCCCACAUGCAGGAUUUCAUUGCAGUAUGAAAUGUUGAUGAAAGAAGAACAGAAGCAGUGGUUACCUCGAUGGGGUCAGUGCAGUCUUUGUCUCGAGGAAAUGACACUUAGGGUGAGACAGGAAGAGGAUGAAUUAGAUACCACCAGGCAGACGGGGAAUUUUAGGAAGAGGGAAUAGCAUGUAUGGAGGUAAAAAGGGACAUGAUUUGUUCCGGAACCUGGGAGGAAUUUGUUAUGGCUGAGCGUUAAGUGGGGGAAGGACUGGUUGGAGAGAUGGGAUGCUCCUGCAGGGCCUGGUUUCUCAUGCUGAGACCGUGGGGAAGGAACUAUUAAAGGAUUUUAAUUGGGAACAUGAAAUCGUAGGAUCUGUGCUUCAAAAUGGCAAUAAAGAUAGAUAGUAGGGGAGUUGAAUUAGUAAGGACUCUCUUUGGGUGCAAAUAAAAACUUUUGGUGAAGAUAUGGGGAUAUACCAUAGACGUCAAGGGCAAGAGUGCAGGCAUGUCUUAACAGUGCAGUUAGAACUAGGAAUAGAAAGCUGUCACGAAUCCCUAUGUCUUUUCUCUCCUCUCUGUUUCCCACCCAGCCCCUGUGUGUUUUCUCUAUUCUUCUCUCUUUACCAACUUCUUCUGCUGCUCAAUUUAUGUGAUAAAAGAUGGUUCUGCCACUGUUUCUGUAUUUCCUCCAUUUAAAAGACCAGGCUAGACUGGGUUCAAAUUCCCCAGGUUCAGAUUCCUAGGAGAGACAUGGCUGCCAGGGCUGCACCACUAUGACUUUUAGAUCAGAGUGGGCAUUUCCGAGGAAGGGGACUCUUCGCUGAGCAGACACUGUAAAUGCCUUCUAUGACAAGGCGAGGGUAGGGACGUGGGAAGAAGCAGAGCUACUCCCCAAGUUCUGUCUUGAUUGGGUGCUGGUGCUGUGCUCUGAAUUCGUAUUUAGGAAUGUUGGUUUUGAAGUGUCUGGAACACCCAGAGGGAGAUAUCUAAUAGGCAGUUAUUAUGUUUGUCCUCUGAGCUUGGGGAGAGGUUGAGGGUUAAGGUAUAUUGAUUGGGGAUACAGUGUGGAAAUGAAAAUGAUGACUCAGUGGAUAUUAUAGAAAGAGGAGAGAAAAGGACCAUGGAUGAGAUAGGAGAGUAUCAGCUUCUCUUGGCAGGAGAGAAAGAAGGGUUUGUAGAGGAUCCAAAAGGAAGAACCAGAAGAGCCAAAAUAUCACAAACUAAGAGGAGCGUUUAAGAAGUGAGGAGUGGGCAACAGUGUUGUAUGCAGAACAAUAAGAUACACAUUGGAGUGACCUCUAGUGUUGGCCGUAACUGAGAGCAGUGAGAGGAGUGAUAAAAGUGGAGGAUGGCCCUGGCCCGUUUGGUAAGAGCCUACAGCAAAAGAAAAGUUAUAAAGAGUGGAUGUGAUGGAUGGAGCGAGAUUUGCAAGUGGGCAGGAAAAAAAGGAAUCAAGAGUCUAGGUAGGGCCCUGGCCGAUGUGGCUCAGUUGGUUGAGCGUUCCCAUGCACCAAAGAAUCGCUGGUUCAGUACCCAGUCAGGGCACAUAUCCAGGUUGUGGGUUUGCUCACUAGUCGGGAUGUAUGUAGGGAGGCAAACGAUUGAUACUUCUCACAUUGAUGUGUGUCUCUCUCUCUCUCCCCCUCUCCCUCUCUCUUCCCUUCCCCUCUCCCCCUCUCCUCCUCAUCCCCUCUCCUCCCCCUUGCUCCCUUCCUUCUUCUCUCCCACCCUCCCUCUCUCCCUUCCUCUGUCUCUCUCAAAUUAAUAAAAAACAUAAAAGAGUCCAGAUAGGAUGAGUGGGUGAACAAAGAAUGGCAUGUUCAUGGAGCAUUAUUCAGCCAUAAAAAGGAUGCUAGCCCUGACCGGUUUGGCUCAGUGGAUAGAGCGUCGGCCUGCGGACUGAAGGGUCCCAGGUUCGAUUCUGGUCAAGGGCAUGUACCUUGGUUGUGGGCACAUCCCCAGUAGGGAGUGUGCAGGAGGCAGCUGAUCGAUGUUUCUCUCUCAUCGAUGUUUCUAACUCUCUAUCCCUCUCUCUUCCUCUCUGUAAAAAAAUCAAUAAAAAAUAAAAAAAGCAAUCACUCUCAAAAUUAAUUUUAAAA